AGUGAACGCUGGCGGUAGGCCUAACACAUGCAAGUCGAACGGCAGCACAGUAAGAGCUUGCUCUUACGGGUGGCGGGUGGCGGACGGGUGAGGAAUACAUCGGAAUCUACUUUUUCGUGGGGGAUAACGUAGGGAAACUUACGCUAAUACCGCAUACGACCUACGGGUGAAAGCAGGGGAUCUUCGGACCUUGCGCGAUUGAAUGAGCCGAUGUCGGAUUAGCUAGUUGGCGGGGUAAAGGCCCACCAAGGCGACGAUCCGUAUCUGGUCUGAGAGGAUGAUCAGCCACACUGGAACUGAGACACGGUCCAGACUCCUACGGGAGGCAACAGUGGGGAAUAUUGGACAAUGGGCGCAAGCCUGAUCCAGCCAUACCGCGUGGGUGAAGAAGGCCUUCGGGUUGUAAAGCCCUUUUGUUGGGAAAGAAAAGCAGCAGGUUAAUACCCCGCUGUUCUGACGGUACCCAAAGAAUAAGCACCGGCUAACUUCGUG
rnacentral:rRNA from 1 species